rnacentral:lncRNA from 1 species
GGGGACACUUUCAGGGAAUUAUCCUUUAUGGAACACUUGUGCAAAAUGUAGCAGAGUCCCUUGGAACCUGAUCGCAUCCGUCUUAGCGGUGGAAUCUCCGUGUUUGACGUUAACGUUCGUUUGACUUACUCCAGUUCUGCAAUCACAGACCUCGCCUGGCUGCCUCCCUUACUCCACUGCUACAAAGCUGGUUUUGCACACUUUACCUCUUUAAUUCCCUCUUGAUUUUUAAAGAUAUCCCUUACCCCUGAGUGCUAAAGAGUGUAUACCUUCUUUUUAAAGUAAAGAUGAAUUUAAAUCACUUUGCUCGAUAACUUCAUAUUAUACUUGAAACAGUCCUUGUUCAGAAAUUACAGUUAUCUAGUUGGGACUCAUUGAAAUAGACAGUUGUUUAAGUUUUAACAGAUAUAGCCUAUCUUGUCUGGUUUCCCUUUAACAUUAAAAUGCAAGCCCUUAAUGAAGCAAGCUGUCAAAUGGUAUAAAAUACUGACUUGGUUUGGGAUUAAUUUAAAAAUGUUCUGAAGACCCAAGUAAAGAUUUCUGGAAAGUGCUGUAGAUUUUCUGCCUUUUUCUCCAUGUCAUCGGA